AUUGAACGCUGGCGGCAGGCCUAACACAUGCAAGUCGAACGAGUGGCGGACGGGUGAGUAAUGCCUGGGAAACUGCCCGAUGGCGGGGGAUAAAUAUUGGAAACGGUAGCUAAUACCGCUAACUAUAGGCUGUGACCAGUUGGGAUGAGCUUGUAGGUGUGGUAACGGCUUACCUAGCCGACGAGCCCUAGCUGGUCGGAGCGGAUGACCAGCCACACUGGAACUGAUACACGGUCCAUACUCCUACGGGAGGCAGCAGUGGGGAAUAUUGCACAAUGGGCGCAAGCCUGAUGCAGCCAUGCCGCGUGUAUGAAGAAGGCCUUCGGGUUGUAAAGUACUUUCAUCGGGGAGGCGUUACCCGCAGAAGAAGCACCGGCUAACUCCGUGCCAGCCGCCGCGGUAAUAC
rnacentral:rRNA from 1 species